GCACUUCCUUGCCUUGCAACUAGGCCUGAAAAGGGGAAUGAAGGUGUUGGACGUGGGAUGUGGAAUUGGUGGGCCACUCCGAGAAAUUGCUAGAUUCAGCUCAACAUCUGUUACUGGAUUGAACAACAAUGAGUAUCAAAUAACGAGAGGAACUGAGCUAAACAAAUUGGCAGGAUUGACUGAGUCAUGCAACUUUGUUAAGGCUGAUUUCAUGAAGAUGCCAUUCCCAGAUCAUACUUAUGAUGCCAUAUAUGCUAUAGAAGCGACGUGCCAUGCCCCUGAUGCGGUUGGAUGUUACUCUGAAAUAUUCAGGGUUUUGAAACCUGGGCAAUGCUUUGCUGCCUAUGAAUGGUGCAUGACUGAUCAUUUCGAUUCAAAGAAUGAAAGCCACAAGAAGAUCAAGGCU
rnacentral:misc_RNA from 1 species